rnacentral:rRNA from 1 species
CGGGGGGGGCAAGCGUCGUUCGGAAUUACUGGGCGUAAAGGGUUCGUAGGUGGCUCGCUAAGCCAGACGUGAAAUCCCUCAGCUUAACUGGGGAACUGCGUCUGGGACUGGAGAGCUCGAGUGCGGGAGAGGAAUGCGGAAUUCCAGGUGUAGCGGUGAAAUGCGUAGAUAUCUGGAGGAACACCGGUGGCGAAGGCGGCAUUCUGGACUGCAACUGACACUGAGGAACGAAAGCCAGGGGAGCAAACGGGAUUAGAUACCCCGGUAGUCCUGGCCCUAAACGAUGAAUGCUUGGUGUGGCGGGUAUCGAUCCCUGCCGUGCCGGAGUUAACGCGUUAAACAUUCCGCCUGGGGAGUACGGUCGCAAGGCUG